rnacentral:rRNA from 1 species
CUGGAGGUAUCAGAAGUGCGAAUGCUGACAUAAGUAACGAUAAAGCGGGUGAAAAGCCCGCUCGCCGGAAGACCAAGGGUUCCUGUCCAACGUUAAUCGGGGCAGGGUGAGUCGACCCCUAAGGCGAGGCCGAAAGGCGUAGUCGAUGGGAAACGGGUUAAUAUUCCCGUACUUGGUGUUACUGCGAAGGGGGGACGGAGAAGGCUAUGUUGGCCGGGCGACGGUUGUCCCGGUUUAAGCGUGUAGGUGUGUGUUCCAGGUAAAUCCGGUUCACUUUAACACUGAGGCGUGACGACGAGGCACUACGGUGCUGAAGCAACAAAUGCCCUGCUUCCAGGAAAAGCCUCUAAGCAUCAGGUAACAUCAAAUCGUACCCCAAACCGA